UUUCCGUUGGUGAACCUGCGGAAGGAUCAUUAUUGUAUAACCGAGGUGCGAGGGCUGUCGCUGACCCGAAAGGUCGUGCACGCCCGAGUGCCCUCACACACAUCCAUCUCACCCCUAUGUGCACCACCGCGUGGGUCCCCCUUUGGCUUGUUCGGAGGGGGGCUUACGUUUUCACACAAACUUUGUAUGCAGUGUAGAAUGUAUUUUUUGUUUUUGCGAUCACGCAAUCAAUACAACUUUCAACAACGGAUCUCUUGGCUCUCACAUCGAUGAAGAACGCAGC
rnacentral:misc_RNA from 1 species